AUGAAGAACAAGGAACAACAUAGGAUCAAGAGUUUUCAAAAACAAGUAAGUAAUCAUGGAGAUAUUCAAGCGAUAACAUAUGGAUCAAGCAUAUUUCACAAAACUUCAAACAUAAACUACACACAAUUUUUGAGCGUAUCUCUAGUUGCCACUAUUAAAGGGCUUCAGAUGCAAUGUGUAUGA